rnacentral:rRNA from 1 species
CGCGUAGGUGGCCAUGUAAGUCCGCUGUGAAAGUCAAAGGCUCAACCUUUGAAAGCCGGUGGAUACUGCAUGGCUAGAGUACGGAAGAGGCGAGUGGAAUUCCUGGUGUAGCGGUGGAAUGCGCAGAUAUCAGGAGGAACACCAAUAGCGAAGGCAGCUCGCUGGGACGUUACUGACACUGAGGCGCGAAAGCGUGGGGAGCGAACA